UGUACGAUAUCUAUGUUCCUGACUGGGAGUACCAGACAUCAGCUCCUGGCUCCACAGAGAAGCAUUUCUUUGUGAAAUGUGGAGUAAGAGGUGACACCAGCCCAGGCUGCAAUGCAGUUGGCAUGAUCGACCGUAAAAUCCUGGGCAUCCAGCAUCUCUACGCCCGACCUGUUUAUGCACGAUCCAAGCAAUGCAGCAUCGACUCUCCACAAAAUGGGCCCCUUCCUCCUGAUGCGCCCUCUUGGUGCCAGGCCCCUUUUGACCCCCAUCUUACAACGUGGUGGACGAGGAGGACAAGCCGGCGGCGGUGGCGGAAGUCGG